rnacentral:rRNA from 1 species
UAAGACGGAGGAGGCAAGCGUUAUCCGGAAUUAUUGGGCGUAAAGCGUCCGCAGGCGGCUUUUUAAGUCUGUCGUUAAAGGUCACAGCUCAACUGUGGGUCGGCGAUGGAAACUGGAGAGCUAGAGUGUGGUAGGGGUAGAGGGAAUUCCCGGUGUAGCGGUGAAAUGCGUAGAUAUCGGGAAGAACACCAGUGGCGAAGGCGCUCUACUGGGCCACAACUGACGCUGAGGGACGAAAGCUAGGGGAGCGAAAGGG